rnacentral:rRNA from 1 species
UACGGAGGGUGCGAGCGUUGUCCGGAAUCACUGGGCGUAAAGGGCGCGUAGGUGGCGCGGGAAGUCAACGGUGAAAGUUCGGGGCUCAACCCUGAAUCGGCCGUCGAUACUCCCGGGCUCGAGCACUGUAGAGGCAGAUGGAAUUCCGGGUGUAGCGGUGGAAUGCGUAGAGAUCCGGAAGAACACCGGUGGCGAAGGCGGUCUGCUGGGCAGUAGCUGACACUGAGGCGCGACA